rnacentral:rRNA from 1 species
AUUGAACGCUGGCGGCAGGCCUAACACAUGCAAGUCGAACGAGUGGCGGACGGGUGAGUAAUGUCUGGGAAACUGCCUGAUGGAGGGGGAUACCUACUGGAAACGGUAGCUAAUACCGCAUACCAUCGGAUGUGCCCAGAUGGGAGUAGCUAGUAGGUGGGGUAAAGGCUCACCUAGGCGACGAUCCCUAGCUGGUCUGAGAGGCUGACCAGCCUCGCUGGAACUGAGACCCGGGUCAGACGCCUACGAGAGGCAGCAGUGGGGAAUAUUGCACAAUGGGGGAAAGCCUGAGGCUGACACGCCGCGUGUAUGAAGAAGGCCUUCGGGUUGUAAAGUACUUGCAGCGGGGAGGCGUUACCCGCAGAAGAAGCACCGGCUAACUCCGUGACAGCAGCCGCGGUGAUUC